rnacentral:rRNA from 1 species
AUUGAACGCUGGCGGCAGGCCUAACACAUGCAAGUCGAGCGAGCGGCGGACGGGUGAGUAAUGUAUGGGGACUGCCCGAUAGAGGGGGAUAACUACUGGAAACGGUGGCUAAUACCGCAUACUGUCGGAUAACCCAUAUGGGAUUAGCUAGUAGGUAAGGUAAUGGCUUACCUAGGCGACGAUCCCUAGCUGGUCUGAGAGGAUGAUCAGCAAUAAGGGGAAUGAGCGACGGGACAGACGCCUACGGAGGCAGAAGUGGGAAAUAUUGCAAGAUGGGCGAAAGCCUGAGGCAUCCAUGCCGCGUGUAUGAAGAAGGCCAUAGGGUUGAAAAGUACUUUCAGUGGGGAGGCGUUACCGAAAGAAGAAGCACCGGCGAAUUCGGGGCCAGCAGCCGCGGUAAUAC